GACGAACGCUGGCGGCGCGCCUAACACAUGCAAGUCGAACGAGAACGGUUUCUGCUUUUAGCAAUAAGAGCAGGGGCUUAGUAAAGUGGCGUACGGGUGAGUAACACGUGGAUAACCUGCCCUUAAGUGGGGGAUAACCUGGGGAAACCCGGGCUAAUACCGCAUAACAUCCUGGAGACUUAAGUCCUUGGGAUCAAAGGAGUAAUUCGCUAGAGGAGGGGUCCGCGGCCGAUUAGCUUGUUGGCGGGGAACGGCCCACCCAAGGCAAUGAUCGGUGGCCGGUCUGAGAGGACGCACGGCCACACUGGAACUGACACACGGUCCAGACUCCUACGGGAGGCAGCAGUGGGGAAUCUUGCACAAUGGGGGAAACCCUGAUGCAGCGACGCCGCGUGGGUGAUGAAGCUCUUCGGAGUGUAAAGCCCUUUCGGCGAGGGAAGAAACACUGCCCCAGCGUAGGACGCUGGCCGAUCACCGGCCAGCGCCGUACGC
rnacentral:rRNA from 1 species